UCUAUUUUUUUUAGGACUAUUUUUGGUUUUAAUAGAUAUAUAAUUUCUUAUUUAAAAUUGAACAUUUUUAUGGAAUCUAUAGGACUGUUUUUAAUUGGCGAAUAUUCAUGUCAUUCAUGAUUAGGAUUUGGAUAGGACAUAAAUUCAAAAUCAAUAAAAUUCCAUUCGAGUGAACUAGCAACCUGGCAAAACCAUUGUUUGAAGAGAUGGCUCUUUUUUUCUUCAAAAGAAAUAAAGGAUGUUAAUAGAAACUAACUUAAAUAUAGCGGCUUGUUAAACUAAGAUAUCUUAGUUUUGGAUAAGGGACAAAAGUUGAUAUUUCAAACGAUAGCUUUUUAAUUAUGAUUUCAGUUAUGCCAUAAUUCAAUCAACUUCUGUAAUAUCAAUACGAGUUAUUUAAUGUUACCCGCAAGAGGAUAAAUAUCAUGUAUGUCUUUAUUAUAUUUUUAAUUAUAAUCUGUUUGAUCUCAAAGGUAAAUUUCCAGAAUUAUAACAGGCGAUGAAAAAUGGAUUAUCUAUGACAACAUCGUUCGUAAAAGACAGUGGCUUGAUAAGGAUAAACCACACUUAUCAGAUCCGAAAGCAAACAUCCAUGGAAAA